AAAAGUGGAAAAAGGGCAAAGAGAACCAGAGAACAAGGGUUGGAGAGAGGAAGAGCUUGAAGCUUAAAGAUUCGCCGGAUUAACUCAGGUAAGGGGGGUUUAUCGUCGAUUAAUGGGUAUUAUAAACCAGAGAACAAGGGUUGGAGAGAGGAAGAGCUUGAAGCUUAAAGAUUCGCCGGAUUAACUCAGGUAAGGGGGGUUUAUCGUCGAUUAAUG
rnacentral:lncRNA from 1 species